rnacentral:piRNA from 1 species
UNCCAGGGAGAUUUGAACUUAGUUGACAGG